ensembl:lncRNA
CAACAUGAGGCCCCGGAGGGUCUGACAUCUGAGACGGAGCUCCGGCAGUUACAAAACUACAAUAUAUUCCAAAAGAAAUAUUGAUUCACAUUUGAAUAUUUAUUCGAAAAAGAAAAAAAUAAUAUAUAUAUAUAGAUAUAUUUAAAUAUAUAAAAUAAUAAAUAUAAUAAUAAUAAAUAAAACAUAAUAUAUUAAAUAAUAAAAUAGAAAAGACUCUAUUUAAUGUAUAUAUUAAUUAUGACUAUUUGGGUUAAUCCUCUGAUUAAUGGGGUUUUAAGGGGAACCAUUAAUGCGUUUAUUAUUCUCUUAGAAAAUAAUAUCAGAAACAACUGAUUUUAACUAUUGAUUUAACUUUCAGAGAUUAAACAAAUAAAUCAAAGUAAUAAUAUAAUGAAUCAAAUAAUAAUAUCCUUCUUAGUAAAUACUUUGACUUACUAUGACUUUACUAUGACUGUGUGUGUGUGUGUGUGUGUGUGCGUGUGUGUGUGUGUGCGUGUGUGUGUGCGUGUGUGUGUGUGUGCGUGUGUGUGCGCGUGUGUGUGUGUGUGUGCGUGUGUGUGUGUGUGUGUGUGUGUGUGUGUGUGUGCGUGUGUGUGUGUGUGUGUGUGUGUUUAAAACAGCAGGGGGCAGCAGAGGUUCAAGUUUUCAAAAGCUCCAGAAAGUUCUGUUAGACUCACUGAGGUGAACGUUAAGUGAUGAAGAUGAGGUGAUAAAAGUUAAGUGAUGAAGAUGAGGCGAUGGAGGAAAGGAGCCUCAAUGCGUCCUUACAUAGCUCCUUUAGCAGAGGAACCACCGGAGCAUCCUUUGCCAAAGGAAAGGAGAUAAUUCCGUCCCACACACUGUAACAGCACAUGAAGGCACCUCAGACGCUUCUCUGUAGCCGCUGCAGACUGACGUCACCAACAUGCGUCUCCGUCCAUCACAACUAGCAGCUCAGUGGAAGUGGAGUCGAUUCCCUAAGCACCGCGUGUGUCUCUUCCUAACUCCUUACGAACUCUCCUCACCAUCUUUCCUUGACGCGGUGACGUUUUCCACAGAGGUCAAGGAAAGGUGGUUAGGAAUAGUGGUUAGGAAUAGACGUUAGGAGGCCACCAAUGUGCUAUUCGGAUCCCGUCCAGACCUUCCAGCAGAGGACGCCGUUUCUCUCUUACGCCUCUGGUGACAUCACUUCCUGCCUGCGGCUCCUCCCAUCCAUCCAGCAGCGACCGGUUUGAGGCUCUUCUCCAUGACGCAAGAGGCCCCUCCAGUGUGUCCACAACAACAAAGAUGAGAGGGGAUUACACGCCAACAACGGUGCUGGAAAAGAACAGUUAGCAAUGUGACGUUAGCAUGUUAGCGAUGAGACAUUAGCAUGUUAGCAAUGUGACAUUAGCAUGUUAGCAGUAAAAUCCAGCUGAGGCUGAUUGAAUGUUUUGAGUGUGUUUUUUUGUUGUUAUUUUGGUCAUAAACCAAAGUGACAUGUUGGCUAAAGGGCACAUGAGUAAAGAACGACCCAACAGUUGAGUCAAAAAACACAAAGUGCUUUAGACGUCUCUUGGGUUCAUCCUCUGGGGAACAUGAACGUGGCAUAAUCAUUGUGGUGAAACUGAUACUCUACGUGAGCUUUUCAGUUAAUGGCGUUUAACAGAGUGGAAGCUGUGCUAAGCCUCAUGCAAAGGAAGUGACAUCACCGCUGGCGGUGAUGUCACAACAAAAGCCCAGCGUUACUCAAAGUGUUCCAUCACAGUUCUUCCUACUGACUUAACGAGUAGAUUCACCCGUUCAUCAUUACAUUAAGAGGAGCAUUUAUUGUGUUAGAAGCUCUUUGAAUAUGCAAAUGAGGGAUUAUGAGAUACGUUUGGGUGGAUUUCGGAUGAAAAGCUGAUGAUUGAACAGGUGGAGCGAGUCCAGCUGGCUGAAGCUCCUCCGCCUUCACACAAAGACACAGAAGUGCACAUGAAGCAUUCUGCAUUUCUCUAGCUGCAGAGGAGGAACUGGGUUCAUUCCAUCAGUUUCUGCUCACACAUGAACUGGUAUUUCCUAAAAGUCUUCUCCGUUGAUUAAAAUAAAAUACUUGUGCAGCCCUUGAGUCUUCUGGGAGUGUGUUCAUGGACUUCAGGACCAGGAAGCAGACCAGAAAGCCUCCAGAGGUUCAUCAAAGCUCCCAUCUGGACCCGCGUGGUCUGGAGCAGCAGGAACGAUGCUCCUGGGUUUCCUUCGAUGGGACCAGUGAGGACGUUCCUCCAGCGUCUGCAGAUAAACGUGCUCCUCCAGCCUGGAGAUUGUCUUCGUUGUCUUCGUCGUCUUCCCGUCGUCUUCCCGUUGUCGUCCUGUCGUCUUCUUGUACUUUUCCACUGUGUCUCUGCAGGCGGAGGAAUGAAGGCUGCGGGCCUCCGUCUGAUGGGUGGAGACGAUGACCUCAUCCGCUCGUCGUGUCUCAACGUCUCCGACUCUCUGCUCACAUUCCUGCAGAGUUGAGUUUCUCUGCAGCAAGAGGGAGAGGAAGAGGGAGAGGAAGAGGGAGAGGAAGGAGAGGAAGAGGAAGGAGAGGAAGAGGAAGGAGAGGAAGAGGAAGGAGAGGGAAAGGAAGGAGAGGAAGAGGAAGGAGAGGAAGAGGAAGGAGAGGGAAAGGAAGAGGGAGAGGAAGGAGAGGAAGGAGAGGAAGAGGAAGGAGAGGAAAAGGAAGAGGGAGAGGAAGAGGGAGAGGAAGGAGAGGAAGAGGAAGGAGAGGGAAAGGAAGAGGCGAGGCAUUAGCAUCCAAACAUUUAAUAUUAGCCAGUAUGAAUAUUUUAUAAUAAUAAUAAAUAAAUUAUACCAAUAAAAAUGAUAAUAACAUUGUGAUAAUAAUUACGUUAUUAUAUCUCUAUCUGUAUCUACUAUCAAGUCAGCUCAGAAAGUACAAUUGAAUCAUUUAAUUAUAUCUUGAUGGUAAUAUCACAACGACCACUUCUACUUCUAAACAAUGAUACAAAUAACAACAAUAACAAUGAUAAUAAUGUGAGGAUUGAUCUGUGUAGAAAUGUUUCAGCUGCUUCCCUUGAUUCCUGCUGAGUGAGCAGAAGAAAACCGACGUUUUACAUUCAUCUUUGUUUCAUAACUAUUUCAUCACAGCAGAAAGUUCCCACAUGUUCAAAUGCUCGGCUGAAUUCCUGUGAUGUGAUGAGGACUAUUGAGUCAGACUUCCUCCUUCUCUCUCCUCUUAUCUUCACAGGGUGGGGAUACCUUCUGAGGACUGAUGGUAGACAUGAGUGUCCUUUUAACCUGUUGACCUGAUAUGUGAAUCUCUUCACUCACGUUGGACCCACUGGAAAUAAAUGAGCUGACGGUAUUUCUUUAUUCUCUGUGGAGACAAUCGUAGUGACUAUGUUUUAAAGCCCUUCAUGCCCACAUGUGAUCCAACAGUGUCAAAAUAAAAGCCCUUCAUGCCCACAUGUGAUCCAACAGUGUCAAAAUAAAAGCCCUUCA